UAGUCCACGCUGUAAACGAUGUCUACUUGGAGGUUGUUGUCUUGAAUGAUGGCUUUCGGAGCUAACGCGUUAAGCACUCCGCCUGGGGACUACGAUCGCAUGAUUAAAACUCAAAGGAAUUGACGGGGGCUCGCACAAGUGGUGGAGCAUGCGGUUUAAUUCGAUGCUACGCGAAAAACCUUACCAACCCUUGACAUGGUGGUCGCGAGAGAUAGAGAUGACUCUCUUCAGUUUCGGCUGGACCACACACAGGUGUUGCAUGGCUGUCGUCAGCUCGUGUCGUGAGAUGUUGGGUUAAGUCCCGCAACGAGCGAAACCCUCAUCCUUAUUUGCCAGCGGUUCGGCCGGGGACUAUAAGGAAACUGCCGGUGAUAAGCCGGAGGAGGGUGGGGACGAUGUCAAGUCAUCAUGGCCCUUAUGGGUUGGGCUACACGCGUGCUACAAUGGUAUCUACAGAGGGAAGCAAUAUGGCAACAUGGAGCAAAUCCUCAAAGGAUA
rnacentral:rRNA from 1 species